GAGCGCUUAAACGCAUCAAUGAUAUCAGCUUCAUUGGAAGAUGCUUGUCACUUGGCAUGCAGUUGUGAAUUGUGAUAGACUCCGCCAAGAAGUUGAGAGUCAGAUGUGCCACGACACGAGAGAGGCUAUGGAUAAUGAAAUAGAUGUUUUGUUGAUGACGAAGUUUUUUAGAGAGUUAGGUAUCUCGUUAGAUUAUCUUAUGUAGUUUAUUUAUACAAUUUAACGUAGUUUUUUAUGCACUCAACCAAUGUUUGUAAUUUGACAGGUUUAUUUCCGAAUUGGAUGUCUAUGGGUUUAUUUCCGAUUUGAAUGUGUAUUGUUUUGGUUUGAUUUGAAAAUGUUCCAUUGGUAAGCUUGAUGUAUUUCUGGAAAACCUUUUUUAUUGUAAA